CUUUACUGUAGCCUGGAAUUGUGUUCGGGCUUCGCUUGCGCAGGAUAGGUGGGAGGCAUAGAAGUACCCCUUGUGGGGGGUAUGGAGCCAACGGUGAGAUACCCACUCUGGCGAGGCUAGGAUUCUAACCUUAACCCGUAAUCCGGGAAAGGAACAGUUUCAGGUGGGCAGCUUGACUGGGGCCGGUCGCCUCCUAAAGAGGUAACGGAGGCGCGCAAAGGUUCCCCUCAGGCUGGUUGGAAAUCAGCCAUAGAGUGUAAAGGCAUAAGAGAGCUUGACUGUGAGGACCUACAAGUCGAACAGGGACGAAAGUCGGUCUUAGUGAUCCGACGGCAGAGCGUGGAAUCGCCGUCGCUAAACGGAUAAAAGUUA
rnacentral:rRNA from 1 species